rnacentral:RNase_P_RNA from 1 species
CAAGGCAGAUAUAUAGUUGCCUCGUUUCAAAAUUAAAACGGGGAGGAAAGUCCGGACUCCAGCCAGAGCUUCGCUCUGGUUAUGGGUAGUGGAUAACAUCCACCGGGGGAAACCCUAGGGAAAGUGCCGCAGAGACUAUACUAGUUUCGACAUAUGUCGAGAUAAAAGGUGAAAAGUUUUUAGGUGUUAUUUGUUCUCGAGACAAAUGGCUACUAAUUUCGACUGCUGGUGACAGCAUGUUCGUGGUAAACCCUACCUGGAGCAAGAACAAAGCCAGAACGAAGUUCUAGAAAUUCUAAAAAAUACUCUUGUCAUUUCGCAAGGAGCGAGAGCGAAUGGAGAAAUCCCUUAGACGUGAAGCUAUUUGCAUUUAAGAGAUCUCUCCGCUUCGCUACGAGAUGACAAAACAGUAUUUAGUUUGGAGUUUGCAGAACUUCGCUCUGGUUAUAAGUAGUUCGCAUGAGCUUACUGGUAACAGUAGGCCUAGAUAAAUAACUAUACAUAGAAGCUACUGGCUAUAAUUUCAUUGCAAA